CCAUUGACAGGAUUUUCUGGCAGAAACCAUCAUGGGUAUUAAAAGUCAGUGGGUUGGGAGCAAGAGUCACCAGAAACCAUCACAUUCGACUGUGUGAAGCUCCUGAUUUACAAUUUUGUCUCACUUCCUUGGGUUGUCUCCCAUGAGCAGAAGUAACUCAGGAGGCUGAGGAAAACAGCAGAUUGUGGCUGGGCCGACCUUCUAGAAAGGUCCACACAGUGGUCCCUGGACCCUAGGAGUUCUCCACUCCCCCAACACUGUUUAUAUUAGCUAUCAUGCACGGAACAGUCAUGUGGUACACUUUGCAGUCAGCAAGUUUAUCUUCUGUUAAAGUUUUACCAGUAGAAAUCAAGUAGUAUUUACCCCUGUUCUGCGGCAAGUCAUGUGCAAACAGCACCUGUGAACAUUUUCAGCACACAUGCUGGACUUUCUCCUUCGUGUUUCUCAUCACAACAAAUGUUGGGGGGAAAGCCAACAAUUGUCGAGACUCUGGCAAAUGUGGAACUCCUCACCAGAAAUGACUCACAAUCACUGCUGUCAAGGUGCAUGGGACUUUGCUUUUGCCGUCGUCAGAGCACCUUCGUUGGUUACAGACAUUCGUCCUUACAUAAGGCCAAACUCAGCACACCCAUAAGAACUCUGAAUGCUGCUAACAGGGUGAUUAUGAAAGGCUCAUGAAGUCAGGAGCUGGGGCAGCCAUCUUGCAAUCUCUGAAGAGCUGCCCUGUAGGGAGGCCUAUGUGGCCAAGAACUAAGGGAGAUCUCCAGCCAAUGGCCAGUGAGGAGCUUCCACACACUGACAUGGAAGAGGGGCUUCCCCCAGUCAAACCUUCAGAUGGGACUGCAGCCCUGGAUGACAGAUUGACUGCAAUCUCAUGAGAUACCUGGAGCCAGAAGCUCCCAGCUCAGCCAUGCCUGGAUUUAUAACCCACAGGAAUUGCAAGAUAAUAAAGGAUGAUUGUAAGCUGCUA